rnacentral:lncRNA from 1 species
GUUGGGAGUUUGACUGAUUGAGGGACAGAGGAUUUAAGGAGCGGUGCGACUCAACUCCAGUGCCGGUUGAUACUCUCACAUGGGUAGUUCGCUAGCCUCUGAACCUGCCUGCUUGUCCGUGUUUCCAUGUUGAUAACUUUGAACUCCAUUCCAGUAACCUGUACCUGCAUCACCUACCUUGCCUGGAGUUGUUCCCACGUCUCGUCGCUUGAAGAUCCUCUGGACUCCUCUCUCCACGUCUGCCCGCCUGCCUCAUGCUCUGAACUCCUCUUCUGGUCCGACCUUCCUCAGUCCGCCUCCACUCUGGUUCCGACUCCUGACCAUUCCAGUCUUCUCCUGUUCCUGAUCUGAAGCAGCGCCUUUAGUAAGUUUUUGCCUUUUCUGUUGUUCCUCAUUGUAAAUAAACCAUUUUACUUUUACUCACCGUUCCUCUGAUGUGAUUCUUCAUGUCUUGGGUGAAAGCUCUUACCCACAGCAUGACAGUUCUGUAUUCUGUGUGAUCGUUGUGCAGCACGUAGGUCAGCUGCCAUGCUUUUUUUAAGUGAUUUAUCAAUAAACGAUGAUGAUGAUGAUGAUGAAUAUUUUUGAAAGCUAUAGAAAAACAGGUAACAUUUCUGACAAAGUAUAAAGUAUUAGAAUAUUUUAGACUAUUACUCAUUGUCGUCUUCUUCUUCAUCGGCACUGGUUACAUGGUUGGCCGACACAAUAGCUGCCCCCGUCUGUUUUUCAUAGAAAUCUUAGUUUAAAACUGCACACCAAAUUCAACAUUAUAACUGUUAUUAUUUUCACUUUUACCAUCAUCCUGAAGAUUAUAAAAUAAAAAUAAUAAUGAAAAACGAUUUUACCAAAAAAAAUACACAUCUCUUUUACUUGUUCAGGGCAUAUUUUCAACUAUGGAAGCAACAUUUUUUAUUCUAUAAUUUCACCAACUUCAUUGAGUUAAACAUUUCUAACACAUAUAUCCAUAUUUAGCACAACUAGUCAACUAUGUCAUGUAAAAGUUUUAAAGAUCCAACUGUAAACACGAGGAGAGACCGGGCUACAAGAAGGCAUUUUUUUCCGGUUUUGGAGACGUACUAUUUGUCGCCUCACUGUUCCGUGCUGAUUGGCUGAGCGGCACCAUGGCGCAAAGUGUAGCUAGCUUGAUGAUUGGUUGGAUGAAAUCUCAAUUUUAAGAGUUCAUGCAAGGCACACUGACAUAAUUUAUGAUGUGAGUGGAAGUGUCUAAAUAUAGACGUUGGCUCUAUAAAGGGUUAGGACAAAGAGACCAAGAGUGGAUCAGUGGCCUCUGUGUCAACAUGCUUAUUUUGCAUUCAGUUUAAGCCUCAGCUCACAUUUACCCUCACAACUUUGCACUUUAAUAGGCUCAAAGGCAAAAAUAUAAAAAAAAAAUACAUCAACUGAGCUGUGUUCUGUUCUUUAGGCACAUUAAAAUGUGUCCAAUAAAAAUAAAUAAGUACAAAAUACGAACAUUUUCCAUUAAAAAUUCUAAAGUUCUUAUUCAGGAUUCAUGUUUUGUAAACCAGAAUUUAAUUUGGAAUACCUACAAGUAAAUCUAAUUCAUUCAGUGCAGCAACACAUUUACUCGCUUGCUGGCAGUGCUGCAACAUGCUGAAAUUUACCUCAUUUCACAAAACUUUUUACUUAUCACCAGCAGAGGACUGCAGACUGAUCGCUUUCUUUUUGCUAUCAAUGCAGUUUGCCAGCUAGGUGACUAAGCAAAGUCCCAUCCCCACAUCUUUGAAGUGCCUUCACAUAGCCUGUAUCAGUGGCUUGCUUGCAACUUAAAAACCUGUCUGCAAAAAAUAGAUAAAUAUAAACCCUCUGCAGCAAUACCUGCAGAAGACUUAAGCUCAACUACUAACCUGGGUGGAAGGCAGUUUUAUGACACAGGAAAGAAAUUUAACCAACUGGAAGAGAAAGUGAGCCAUUUUUAAGCAAAGUUAAUGAGAUGUUGUGUUUUUUUUAAGAAGGGAGAAAAGGUUUUAAAGUUUGUAAUUAAAACAAUUUUGUGUAAGUUGUGAUAGCCAACCCAACACAGCGUGGAGGACUUGGACAUUAGACUCCGUCAAGUACAACAUAUAAACAAGGUCUGGGUAAUGAGGCAAGCACAAGUAAUUAAAACUCAAGGAAAACUUACAAAAAGGGUAAAGCAGGAGGUGAAAUCAUCAUAAAUGAGCUUGUGAGGCUUUUUUUUGGAACAAGUUUGAGAACAAUACCAGAUGAGCUCAGCAAUACAAUCUCUUCAGAACUUUCUUUGGGAAGAUGAUUGGUAGAGUACCUUAGUGUUGUAACCAUGUUUAUAAUUGAUCUUUCAUGAAAUUUCCACUAGUUGUACACAUUGUUUUCUCUAGUCUUUGUCAAGUUUCAUUGUGGAUUGUAAAAUAUGUUUGAUGGUCUGUCCUGCAAAGAGAUGAUUCAGCUCUUCAGUUUGCAUGGUGAGACCAUCAACUACUGUACUUGUUUAGAUGUGUGUGCCAACAGGCAGCGCUUAUGUAAAAGCUUUAGUCAGGCUGCUUGUCCCUCAGGAGACACUUCAUAUUGCUCAGAGUUUAGGUGCUACAGAAAACGUGGUUGUUUGUGUACAGCAUCUGUAUAAAAUAUGUUGAUCUGCUAGGUUUUUAUGUGCUGUGGUCUUUUCUGCAAAACUGAUUCACACGGUUCACUUUCAUUUAGCUGGCGAAUGUGUGAAAGGCAGUGCUAUGACACAACGUGGAGACUCAAAAACAUGCCCACUCACAAAAGUUAAAUUUAGACUUUCCAGUUAAUGGAACAUAUAUGUGUUUAGUGGGAGGAAACUAGAGUACCCGGGGAGAAAACCACACAUAAAACCCCCCAGCCAUGAUUUCCUUGGUUUAAAGAGACAUUAUGGUCACUUUGAAGCAUGUUUCUAUGUAAAGGUUUUACAUCUCAUUAUACCUGUUGCAGAUAGCUUCCAAAACAGUCUUGGUGAAAAGACUGUUUACAUUCUACCAGUCUGUAGCAUCCUAAAUAUGUGAAUACAUAGGGUUGUUGUGGGGUGACCCUAGAGUUGUCUUUCAAACUGUCUCUGCAUGCUACUGGACAGCAAACAACAUGACGUACUCACCGCUACGGAUGUCAGUCAAAAGGGAAGUCUGCUAUUCACCGCCAAUAAGAAGCAUAUGCAUCUUUUUGUAGAUAAAGGACUCAAGUACCUUUAACUCUUGACUCAAAGAAAGGUCUAAAUAGGCCAAAGUUGAGGCCAAAGCCAUUUUAAAUGAGUCAGCACCAUCUUUAUUGUUUCGUGCAGUCACAGCAACAUCCCGCCCACCAAACCAAUUGAGAUUGACAGACCACGUGACUUACGCGUGGUGCAUUGUAGGAAUUGAGGAUGGAGGGAGAUUUAAAAACCCGGAAGACACAGUUUUUCUCUGUUGGGCUCGGUGUUUACAUCUCCAAACCGUCCUUCUGCGGUGUAAACUAGCAAAGGAAUUUAACCUCUCUUAAUUCACAAGGAUGUAUAAAACGAAGGAGACUGCUCCCGGUCCGUACAAAGACAGGCUCGACGCAAAAUCUAGAGAAAGGUACGAGAAGAUCAAAGGAUUAAACGGGUUAGACCGCUACGAACACAAAGGCUGGAGCAAAGGCGUUAGCGUGUUGCCCAACUUUACUCACGCAUACACAUGGUGCUAAGUGUGAGUGCAUACACCCAUGAAGUGUUUAGUAACGUCAGAUCUCUGCAACAAGCCCA